rnacentral:rRNA from 1 species
UGCCAGCCGCCGCGGUAACACGGGGGGCGCAAGCGUUAUUCGGAAUUAUUGGGCGUAAAGGGCGCGUAGGCGGUCUUGUCAGUCAGGUGUGAAAUCCCAGGGCUCAACCCUGGAACUGCCUUCGAUACUGGUAGUCUUGAGGUCGAGAGAGGUGAGUGGAAUUCCGAGUGUAGAGGUGAAAUUCGUAGAUAUUCGGAGGAACACCAGUGGCGAAGGCGGCUUUCUGGACCGAUACUGACGCUGAGACGCGAAAGCGUGGGGAGCAAACAGGAUUAGAUA